rnacentral:antisense_RNA from 1 species
GAGGAUGGUUUGGCAAUUCCUUUUGAUUCACUUCAUCAAUGAUUCGAGUGACUUGGCUCAAAUUAACAGUGGAAUAAAGAGGAAUUUCAAUUAAGGCACGCAUAUUACCACGAGAUUUGUUGCUGACAACGGUGAUGCUACGGUUUGG